CGAGACACACCAAGCAGUCCCCAUUAACUCACCUUUUGACUCCAAACUCCCUUCAUGCAGAUGAGACGACACUUCAUUUUCAAAAGCGAUCUGGGUAAACUUCAGUCAACGGUUGCGGCUAAAUCCCACAGUGCAGCGAUGCAAGCCGGUUAAAUGUCAAUUCUCCAAGGAAUUAUUAAAUAUUUAAAGGGAUCCUCUCUAAGCUUCAACUGAUGUCAUGCAUGUGAGCUCUUCCAGCAGUUUUCCUCUGAGCCGCUGUCACUCUGUGUUUUAAUAAAGUCUCAUCACGCUGCUCCAAUAUGCUGACGUUUAACGGAGUACAUAUGAAAACUAAAACAAUUAAUCCGUAUAAGGUGUGUCCUCUGAGGCCUGGCCCUUUAAUCAGAACAGAAACAUGUAUUUUCAGCCAUGAAGUAUCGCAGAUCAAAGCGCUACUCCUCACAUCUGCACAUCUGUCGCUGUGCCGCUCACAUCACAGAUUCAUCUAAUCCCGCCGCUCAGGGCUGCAGAGCACAGAUCAGGUCAAGAAACUACUCAUCACUGCAUGCAACUUUGUUAUUACAGAAUAAUUCAGGAAGUUCAGUUUGCAAUGAUUAUGAUUUGCUAACCAAAUAAAUACUCAAGAAAAGUAUGGAUCUCAAACGGAACUGCAUUUGGCUGGAUGGGUUCUUAUAAAGUGAACCAAAACAAUUUUUUUAAAUAAAAGCAGGAUGUGUGACAAGAUCUGAAUUUUUUUAUGUUUAGUUUCAGCCAGUGAACAAACUUUACUUGUGAAGUGAUGCACAAUAUUCACUGCACUUUCUGGCACCUGGGUUUAUUUUUGAUUUAUAGAAAAAUAAAUCCAGCUGGUUCUCACAGAAAAAAGCAAACAAACAAAAAAAAAAAACUCAGCACAGCCUCUAUGAGGGAUGCAACAUCAAGUAGAACGUCUUAUUAAUUUAUUGUAAGUGCAGCAAGAAAAGUAUCAAGGUAAUGGAUCUACAAACUGUUCAUGUGAAAACUUUAGUUUGGACUUCAGUCAUCUCAGAAAUGAUGAUGCUAACUGGUCCAACCCUUUAGGCAGUCUUCAUAUUAAGGUAGAGGAUGACAGUUUUUAUAACUUUCUAAGGACCUUAUCGUGACAAUGCUUUAAACGUCGUCAGGUUUAUAAUCCACAUGUGUCACAAAUCUUGCAGCAACACAAUAAAGGCUGAAUAAAAGCUGUGCUGUUGCUUGUUUUGGCAUUUGGACAAAUUUGGAGCAGAAUAUUAUAUUUAUAACUGGUAGAAUCAUAGACAGGUUAAUUUCCCAAACACAUAAAUUGUAUUCAACAUAGUUUAAUGUUUAAAUAAGUUAUUUAACGCUCAAAGUGGGAGGACUUUAGCCUGCAUGCGUGACAAUAGAUGUUUUCCUGCUGUUUGUGCGUCAGUCAUGUAAAGGGUGAACCACACUGGCUGUGUGGUUCCUACAAAAGCAGUUUCAGCUGCUAGUUUGGGUUUCAUUUCAAGUAUUUCCAAAAAAAAAAGUAAAAAAUAUCCAUUACAUGGGUGGUGAUCCAUGUCAUUCAUUCAGUGGCAACAUAAUCAACAGUUAAUGUUGUUUUUGGUUUAGCAAAACUGUGUUUGAUUUGCUUGAAGAUGAGACAAUUUUUUUAAACAAACCAAUUAGUCUGUUAGAUAAUGUUUUACGUCACAUAUAUACACCAAAAGAAAAAGAAGCAGAACUGAUUCGACAUGUAAACUCAGCCUACACAACACAGUUCCUCAUUUAAAUGUCUGAGUUAUAUCCAAAUGGAAUAAAUAUUCAGUAAAUCUCCCUGAUCUGGCAAUUUGACUGCAAGUUUUUGAAGCUUUAGCUAAUGAUUAAAAGCUCAAAUGGGAGAUUUUGGAUGGAUCCCACUGAAAUGUGUUUUUGCAACUUAAGAAAAACACUUUUUGUUUUUUGUCUAUUAAACAUACUAAAUUCAUGAACACUCAAAGUUUUCCCCUUCCUCCAUAAUUACCACAGUAGUAGUAUAGUGUUUUUUGAUCCUCCUCCAAAAGCAUUGUCUCAGACAUAAAAAGGACUAUUUAAACCAACAAAGAGCACCAGGGGUUGAAUGUAGCCCUGUUUUGAAAUUUACAAAUGCACAAGAAAGGCUUUUUGAAGACAUUUUGUCCUCACUAGUGCAGAGAAAAAAAUACACCCUCUCCCUCCAGCUGCCUGCCUGCUAAUGGUGAGCAGGAAAACGGACGUUUUCCUGCGCUGUAAUCGAGUGUGUGCCAAAACAAUAACUUGAUGGUUUGUUCCUCUGUAGCAUCGAUACUGCAAACCUUUACAAGAACAACAUUAAGCAGGCAGGGAGCACUGUGAAGUUCAAACAGCAUAAAGCUAAUUAAAACAGCCUACAGUAUCCUCUCUGCUCCUAAACCAGUCUGAUGGGUAAAAAUAGUGUAAUUCAGUCAACUGCAGCUGGGCUCAAAUGUACAGGACGUUUAUUGAAUUUUAUGUGUUGAGAACAAUAAUAAGAUUUGGGCAAGUAAAAAAAAUCAGAUUUUUGUGGCUGCAAAAGAAAAUCUGUGGUAUUAGUUAAAAAAAAAAAAAAGUUGGAAAAGACAUUAGCAGGCUACUACAUUCUUUGUGUGUAAAAUGAGCUUAUGGGACCUGAUAAUGACCUUCGGAUUAGUACUGACAGUUUUAGCUUUUAAAUAAUUUCCCAAUGUCGACUGUUGAUACAUUAAAGAGGUUUAUGCCUAGUUGAAACUAUCGUGUGUUCAUGGAUUUGUAUUAAAUGUAACUGUUAAUUCCUCACGUUUUCAUUAAUUAUUGAUGAAAGAAAUAAGUGGUUACAUUAGCUGGAGUCAAACCCAAUGAAUUAGAUUAUAUUCCUUCACAUUUUCUCAACUCAAUCAGCUUGGUGUUCAAGUGGAAAUAGUUCACUGCGCAUGCACAGAAGGCUGUGCAAGAUGAAUGCAUGAAUGAAUGAAUGAAUGAAUGGAUUAUCCCUUUAAAUUGUCGCUGUGAUGUUUAGGCCUCCAUGUUCCAUUCCUGACUCACCUUCAACAACAAAACCCAAGAAAAGGAUCGACAAGAUUAACCAUUAACCUUACAUCCGUUUGUGUUUUAAUUCAUUCAAUCAUGGCUCGUUACAUGUCAUGUGCUGAGAAAGAGAAGCUGCCACCUCACUGACUGUGUGCGUCACCAGUCAGCAGCAGACACGAUUACAGCCUGAAUUUAAUGUCAGUGGCUCCACCAGAGCAGAAGCAGGCAGCUUGCUCCGGCUGUCCGAUGCAGCAGCAGCAGCCUUACCCCGCCUCUACCUCGCAUCAUCCCCGACAGGUGUCGAUUUGAGGAGAAGAAGAAGAAGAAGAGGCUGGUUUAGUUACCGCUGAAGACCAUGGCCGCAGAGGCUCCCAUCACGGCGAAGAAAGGUGAGUACUCGGGGCUCUCCUCAGAAGACAUUGUCACUUUUCCCUUCGGACGACAAAGCUAGACGGCACAAUAUCCUCUCUUUCUUUGGCGGGGGGUUCCCCUGUCCCACCGUCACCUCUGGGCAGCUUAAAACUCCGCGAAACAGCGAGGACGACCAGCGAUGGCUCAAGUGGAGAAGAGGAAAA